rnacentral:lncRNA from 1 species
UACAGGGGGUACCGGUACAGAGUCAAUGUGGAGGCUAUAUACAGGGUAUUACGGUACAGAGUCAAUGUGGAGGCUAUAUACAGGGUAUUACGGUACAGAGUCAAUGUGGAGGCUAUAUACAGGGUAUUACGGUACAGAGUCAAUGUGGAGGCUAUAUACAGGGGGUACCGGUACAGAGUCAGUGUGGAGGCUAUAUACAGGGGGUACCGGUACAGAGUCAAUGUGGAGGCUAUAUACAGGGGGUACCGGUACAGAGUCAAUGUGGAGGCUAUAUACAGGAGGUACCGGUACAGAGUCAAUGUGGAGGCUAUAUACAGGGUAUUACGGUACAGAGUCAAUGUGGAGGCUAUAUACAGGGUAUUACGGUACAGAGUCAAUGUGGAGGCUAUAUACAGGGGGUACCGGUACAGAGUCAAUGUGGAGGCUAUAUACAGGGGGUACCGGUACAGAGUCAAUGUGGAGGCUAUAUACAGGGGGUACCGGUACUGAGUCAAUGUGGAGGCUAUAUACAGGGGGAACCGGUACAGAGUCAAUGUGGAGGCUAUAUACAGGGGGUACAGAGUCAAUGUGGAGGCUAUAUACAGGGGGUACAGGUUAGAGGUAAUUUGUACAUGUGGGUGGGGGUGAAGUGACUAUGCAUAGAUAAUAUACAGCGAGUAGCAGCAGUGUACAAAACAAAUGGGGGGGGGUGAAAGUAAAUAGUCCGG